CUGACUUCUCUGGAUGAUGGACUACAAGUUAAGAACAUUGGCGGUCAGGAAGGGAGUUUAGAAUAUGGAUGCUUUACAACCCCCCUCCCCCAGAAAUGCUGACUUUUCCUGGCAUCACACACUGAAGAAACAAACACCUUUAGACACUUAGCCGCCGCCGCUGCAGCAGCAGCAGUCGGAGCAGCCUCAGCAGCCGCAGCAGUGACACCAGCACCAGCAGUGACACCAGCAGUGACACCAGCACCAGCACUAGCACCAGCACCAGCACCAGCCACAGCAACAACAGCAGCAGCAACAGCAGCAGAAAACCUAGUAACAAAGGCAGCAGCAGCCUCUCGAGCAGCAGCAGCAACAGCAGCAGCAAACCUAGUGACACAGACAGCAACAGCAGCAGCAUCUCUUGCAGCAGCAACAGCCCUAGUAACACAGACAGCAGCAGCCUCUCUAGCAGCAGCAGCAACAGCAGCAGACCUAGUAACACAGGCAGCAGCAGCCUCUCUAGCAGCAGCAGCAACAGCAGCAGACCUAGUAACACAGGCAGCAGUAGCAGCAGCAGCAGCAACAGCAGCAACAUCAGCAACAGCAGCAUCAGACCUAGUAACAGGGGCAGCAUCAGCAACUAUGACAACAGCAGCAACAGCAGCAGUCCCCAACCCUCUAGUGGCAACAUC
rnacentral:lncRNA from 1 species